GCGGCUCGCGGAAGCGAAAGCUCAUUAGCUCCUAGAGGAAAGACUGGGCCCUUCGUAAGCAUGGCUGAUUCCCUCUGGGCAUCUCCUCCGACAAACCUUCCAACAGGUUGUUAUUCUGGUUUUGUUUGGAUACAAUUCCAAGAAGAGGCUGGUCUGUGAAGCCUCUAAAGUACGUUGAUACUGUACUUUGACCUGGUAAAAGGAGCUCUAUAUUGGGUCAACAAGAAAGACUUACCUCAAGGCUGGCAGCAGAAACUGUUUAUAAGGAGAAACAUUCAUAUUUAUACACAGAGAUCUUUCAUUUAUUUAGCUCUAACUAAAUAAAAUAUUUUUAUUCUCAAA